GCCAACGGCGCAGGUUCCAGUGUGGAAGUGGCCGCAUUGCGGAGGCAGCUGGAGCGCUCGUGGCGCCGGUGCACCGAUGUGGCUGUCCAGCUGCUGCUCCCCGACGGGUACCCGCACAACGUCAGCAGCGACUACCUCAAGUACUCGCUCUGGCGCGCCGUGCAGAGCGUGGCGAGCCAGAUCAGCGGGGUGCUUUCCACUCAGAAAUAUAUGUGGGAUUUCUGAAGCUGGCUCAUCAAACACUUGCCGAGUGGGUGGGUGUGUGUGUGGGGUGGGUGGGGGGGGGUAAUAAUUUCAGAAGAGUACUCAUUUCAGAAUAUACCAAAAGGUCUAACCUGUGCAAAGGUCUGUUAGCUCCCUCUAUCAGUAGUAUUGUUUUUACAAAGAGAUGAUGCAAUCAUGCUCUAAUGUCAUGAUAUGCCUUAAAUAUUGUGACAGAGGGUAACUUGUUCUUCUGAAUUAGGAAACCCUGAACAUAUUGUUAUAGUGAUGUUUGCACAAGUUACUGUUCUAAAGCAGCCCAGCCAUAUUAAUGAUAUCAAAUAGAAAAUUGCAAAAUUCUUGUUCUUCUGAAUUAGGAAGCACCAUGAUGCAAUGCUUUUGAUGGAAAUUACUGCUAUAUGUUUGCCAGCACUAACAACUGUAAUUUUUCUUUUUGACUGUGUACAAGAGAAAUGGAAUUGGAUUACCAUGGGAAAGUCAUUGUGUUUCGAGUUGGAUAAUCAGUGUUGAACCAAAAAAUAAAAUGAAUUUGAAUGUUCUAUUGUUCUUGUCAUCUUUAUUUGCAGCAAAACAAUGCUAUGUAGCUGUCCUUAUCUGCAAAGAAAGCAGCAUCUCCCAUAUUCAAGAAUGUCGCAAGACAUUGCUCCUGCAAUCAAUAUGCUCGAGUCACAUAUGUUUACCUUUGCUCAUAUUUCAGGAAAACACUCCAUCAAACAGUACACAAUUUGUCUCCUACUGAUUGGUAUGUACUCUUUUUAGUUUUUUUCCCCAAGUGUGGCAUUGAAGUGUUUGUUGUACAAUCUACCGCAAGAACCUUGGCAAUAUAGAGUGCUUUAUCUCCCAGAUAAAUGGUGCUGAUAAGAUUUGGGCAAUUA